ACUACGGGAGGCAGCAGUGAGGAAUAUUGGUCAAUGGACGAGAGUCUGAACCAGCCAAGUAGCGUGAAGGAUGACUGCCCUAUGGGUUGUAAACUUCUUUUAUAUGGGAAUAAAAUGUUCCACGUGUGGGAUUUUGUAUGUACCAUAUGAAUAAGGAUCGGCUAACUCCGUGCCAGCAGCCGCGGUAAUACGGAGGAUCCGAGCGUUAUCCGGAUUUAUUGGGGUUAAAGGGAGCGUAGGUGGCUUGUUAAGUCAGUUGUGAAAGUUUGCGGCUCAAACGUAAAAUUGCAGUUGAAACUGGCAGGCUUGAGUACGUGAGAGGUGGGCGGAAUGCGUGGUGUAGCGGUGAAAUGCUUAGAUAUCACGAAGAACUCCGAUUGCGAAGGCAGUUCACUGGACUGCAACUGACACUGAGGCUCGAAAGUGUGGGUAUCAAACAGGAUUAGAUACCCUAGUAGUC
rnacentral:rRNA from 1 species